rnacentral:lncRNA from 1 species
UGUAAAGAGAAGGAAAGCUGGAAAACUGCAAGCUUUUGAAAUGUAGGAGUGAAUAUGAAGUCUGAAGGACACCUUGAGGGUUGGUAUCUCGCACCCAAGGACUGUGUUUUGAGUCUUGUUUCCAUAGGCUCCGGAGUGAGUAAUUUACAGUUUCCUAUUCAGAAGCUUGAACUGGGAGUGGACUGAUGAGGAAAACUGGGAACGCUGCUCUAGGCCAGAUAAAGAUUGUUCUGACAGUUACAGCAACAACUAGGAAAGUCUUUAUCUUCCAUACUGUGAUUGUUUCCAUGGCCUAUGACUGAAGAUCUGGAAAAAGGUUAGGUUUUUAUUUUCUGGAUAGCUCUGUGAGACUUACCUCAGAUUGCCCAUGCAGUAGGAAAAUACAG